AACGCACAUUGCGCCCCUUGGUAUUCCGAGGGGCAUGCCUGUUCGAGCGUCACUUCAACCUUCAAGCUCUGCUUGGUAUUGGGCACCGCCAGCAUCGGCGGGCCUUAAAAUCAGUGGCGGCGUCGCUAGGUCCUGAGCGUAGUAAUACUCCUCGCUACUGGAUGUUAGUAGAUGUCUGCCAUCAACCCCAACUCUUAAUGGUUGACCUCGGAUCAGGUAGGGAUACCCGCUGAACUUAA
rnacentral:misc_RNA from 1 species